UUGCUUGAGGAGGAAUCGAUCGAAAAUGAACCACCUCCCGAGUUCCAGUUACUUACUCUUAUCGGGAUGGGACUGGACACCAAUGAAGAAUUCCUAAUGGCUAUGCAACAACAGCUUGUCCAUGAAAUUCGUGAACGUUGUCAUGCAGCCAUCGCCGCCGGUCGCUGUCAGCCCUCGCUUACGGCGGUGCGCCACUUUGCUUUGCCGCGGCGCAAAGGCAAGUUCGAGAGAGAGGCGUCGCGGCAGUACGGUGAGACGACGGACGCGCGCUCAUGA
rnacentral:misc_RNA from 1 species